rnacentral:rRNA from 1 species
AGUUAACGUUGGCGGCGUGCCUAACACAUGCAAGUCGAGCGAAUCUUGAGGUGCUUGCACCUCUUGGUUAGCGGCGGACGGGUGAGUAACACGUGGGCAACCUGCCUGUAAGACUGGGAUAACACCGGGAAACCGGUGCUAAUACCGGAUAAUCCUUUUCCUCUCAUGAGGAAAAGCUGAAAGUCGGUUUACGCUGACACUUACAGAUGGGCCCGCGGCGCAUUAGCUAGUUGGUGAGGUAACGGCUCACCAAGGCGACGAUGCGUAGCCGACCUGAGAGGGUGAUCGGCCACACUGGGACUGAGACACGGCCCAGACUCCUACGGGAGGCAG